AUUGAACGCUGGCGGCAUGCCUUACACAUGCAAGUCGAACGGCAGCACGGGUGCUUGCACCUGGUGGCGAGUGGCGAACGGGUGAGUAAUACAUCGGAACAUGUCCUGUAGUGGGGGAUAGCCCGGCGAAAGCCGGAUUAAUACCGCAUACGAUCUACAGAUGAAAGCGGGGGACCUUCGGGCCUCGCGCUAUAGGGUUGGCCGAUGGCUGAUUAGCUAGUUGGUGGGGUAAAGGCCUACCAAGGCGACGAUCAGUAGCUGGUCUGAGAGGACGACCAGCCACACUGGGACUGAGACACGGCCCAGACUCCUACGGGAGGCAGCAGUGGGGAAUCUUGGACAAUGGGCGAAAGCCUGAUCCAGCAAUGCCGCGUGUGUGAAGAAGGCCUUCGGGUUGUAAAGCACUUUUGUCCGGAAAGAAAUCCUUGGCCCUAAUACGGUCGGGGGAUGACGGUACCGGAAGAAUAAGCACCGGCUAACUACGUG
rnacentral:rRNA from 1 species